UCUGAGAGCUCAUGUGCCAUUUACGCCAUCUCCAUCCGCCAUUGAAGCUGCUACCGCCGCCGCCAACGCUCCUCUGCCGUUGUAGCUGCCGCUGCCAUUAUCUUCAUUAGCUUCUUCAUCUUCUUCAGUACCUGCACCAUUGCUGCCUGCUGACGCCAUUGCUUCUGCCGACCAUACUUAGAUGUGCAUUCUCACUCUCUCAGAUCUAGUUCCUCUAUCUCACUCUCGAUCUAGCACCGCCGCGAACCGCCUCCACCGCCCCAACCGCCGCUGAUUACUUCGUCGUUUCUGCCGAUCUGACGCCACCGUCGACACUGCGCUACCACCACCUCCCUUCUCUCACGACAACAUCUUCCCCCUCUCACUCAGACGACGCCCCGUCUCCACCGCCGCCGACGCUGCCACUGCCUCUGCGCCCCCGCCGUCCACCGCCGCUAGCACGCAGGGAGAUUUUGAUGAACUCUAGGCUAUGCGGUUGUGGAGGGAACACCAGUGAGACAGCGCUGCCUCCCUUGCUGUGGUUGUGGCAUUGGUUGGUUCUUUUAAAAUUGGAUGAGAUUCUGAUGCUGUGAGUUUUAGUGUGAGUGAAUGUGGAAUGGAAAGUGUUAAAACGAAGUGUCAAGACUCUCCGAGUGUCGUGUCUCUCAAGGAUGACAAAUUGGAGCGAAUUGGUGUUGACAUUGAAUGUGUUAAGAGGGCUAGAUGGAAAGACGAAUGGCUAUAUUCUGAUAAAUGCCAAUGGUUGAUUAAACCAGAUGAGAUUUGAGAAUGCAGAUUUGUGAUAAACAAAUACUACUAGAAUACCUGGAUUCAUUCACACGGGUUUCCUCAUCCUCAAGGAGUUAUGGCCCAACUCAUUGUAUACCUACAACUUGGGGCGUAAGUUGCUUAAUGGCACAUAUAUCUGGAGUCAGAGUUACCAAUUCAAGUCUUCUCCUUACCCUGGUCAAAACUCUGUUGAACGUGUAAUCGUUUUUGGCGAUAUGGGAAAGGAUGAAGCUGAUGGCUCCAGUGAGUAUAACAACUUCAACCCGGUUCCCUUAAUACCACUAAGCAGCUGAUAGAUGAUCUAAAAAACAUUGAUAUAGUCUUUCACAUUGGAGAUAUCUGUUAUGCCAAUGGAUACAUCUCGCAGUGGGAUCAAUUUACAUCACAGAUAGAGCCAAUUUCUUCAUGUGUACCAUACAUGAUUGUGAGGCUAGUUAUUGUUGAAGUUAAAAUCGGGUAAUACUCGAUCUUUAAUUUAAUUUUCCAGCUGGCCGGAAUGUGUUAGUUUGAUGCAUGCAUGCAUGCUGUGUCUUUAAUUUAAUGAAGCUGGGACAUAAUUGAAGAUGAACAUACACAGGCACUUAGCUUCAUUCUGUCAUUUUAAUUUCUGGAACUUAAUUAGCUUGUUGUUGGAUUAUUAUUAUUAUUAUUAUAUAUUCCAGAUGGGUUCUAGUAUGAAGCAGUCCAUUUUUUAUGAACAAACUUCAAAUGGAGGCUAUAUCCUUACUUGAGAUUAUUGUAUACUAUAUGGCUUUUCUUUUUAUUGAGAUUUUUGUAUUCUGUUGCAAAGGAGCAUUCUAGCUUUGGGGAGAUUACUGAGUCAAAGGUAGCAUUGUUCAUUCA